rnacentral:rRNA from 1 species
UGUCACCUACGGGGGGCAGCAGUGGGGAAUAUUGCGCAAUGGGCGAAAGCCUGACGCAGCGACGCCGCGUGAGGGAUGAAGUAUUUCGGUAUGUAAAGCUCUAUCAGCAGGGAAGAAAAUGACGGUACCUGACUAAGAAGCCCCGGCUAACUACGUGCCAGCAGCCGCGGUAAUACGUAGGGGGCAAGCGUUAUCCGGAUUUACUGGGUGUAAAGGGAGCGUAGACGGAGGAGCAAGUCUGAUGUGAAAAUCCGGGGCCCAACCCCGGAACUGCAUUGGAAACUGUUUAUCUAGAGUGUCGGAGA